rnacentral:tRNA from 1 species
GGGGACUUAGCUCAGUGGUAGAGCGCUAGCCGCUAGCCCAGCAAGCGCAAGGCCCUGGGUUCAGUCCCCA